rnacentral:rRNA from 1 species
CAAUAGCGUAUAUUAAAGUUGUUGCGGUUAAAAAGCUCGUAGUUGGAUUUCUGCCGAGGACGACCGGUCCGCCCUCUGGGUGAGUAUCUGGCUUGGCCUGGGCAUCUUCUUGGAGAACGUAGCUGCACUUGACUGUGUGGUGCGGUAUCCAGGACUUUUACUUUGAGGAAAUUAGAGUGUUUCAAGCAGGCAUACGCCUUGAAUACAUUAGCAUGGAAUAAUGGAAUAGGACCUCGGUUCCAGUUUCGUGGUUUGCGAAUCCUUGAGGUAAUGAUUAAUAGGGACUGCCGGGGGCAUACGUAUUGCGGCGGGAGAGGUGAAAUUCGUGGAUCGCCGCAAGACGAACGACAGCGAAAGCAUUUGCCAAGAAUGUUCUCAUUAAUCAAGAACGAAAGUCAGAGGUUCGAAGAUGAUUAGAUACCA